GGCAGGGCGGUGGCGGCGGGGGGCACGCUGAGGGUAGGGGGGAGGGCACGAUUGUUUGAUUGGAGGCCAUCCCCCGGUGUCCGCAAAUUCGCUUUUGUUUAUUUUCCUGAAAAGCUAAAUAAGCCAGUGAGACUGAGCAGCUCCACACCAGACGUGCGUUUUCAUUGUAAAAAUAUUUUUGCGGGUCGGAAAAUUGCACCAAAAUGUUUUCACAGGCAAAGCGCUGCCGUGUGCUGCUCAGCCCUGCGACCAGCGGCCACCAGGGAAGGGGCCGCCGAUGUGCACCUCGGGUGCGCGUUCCAGUAAUCAUAGCAACAAACAUUCAGGAAGCACGUACCAUGGGGCGGUUUGUCAUUUUCUAGGGUGAAGUUAUCUAUGGAAAGUCGCACAACUACAGCUUGUUGCCAAUCUAGAGAAAGCCGAGAACAUUCCACGCACGUAGGACCAUCAGAGCCAGAGAGGCUUGGAAUCUGGUCCUGUGCCAGCACAGAGCAGGUGAGUGACACGGCUGCCCCGACACCGUGGGCCACGAGGCAGGGCUGAGGCCCCCUGGUCCCCCAACCCCCCUGCUUCCAGGCCCCCCGGCCUCCUGACCUGCAUGGCCGUCCUUGUUACCCGCCUCCGUGAGGCUGGACCUUGUACACAGAUGUCACCCACACAGCUUGGCUGCGCAGCUGAAGUCCUUGACACACACAUUUAUACACAAAGACACGCCAGAACGUGUCACAGACCCUCACAGAGCCACAGCCCCUGUCACAGAACAUAUCCCUGUGAGCCGUGAUCUGAGGACGCACCGUGGAGUCCCAGGACCAUCAUUUUCAACUAUACGCAGCCGGUGGGAAAAACGGGAGUGAAAAACAAUCUAAACGAUUCAGGUGAUUCCUCCCUCCUUCCCCCCCAGGCCCACGGAGGUCGCCUGCGGCCGAGCGAGGACUGCCUCCAGCCCUGCCUCAGCCCCAGCUCCCAGGAACUCACAGGGGCAUCUUUUUCCUGAAAUAGCUCCAGACACCCGCCAACCCCGUGGCCUGGUGCUCGGGUGCGGAAGCGUGAGGGUGCAGGAAGGGAAAAGGCCGGGCUGGGCGCGCUCGGAGGCAGCCAUCGCUCCUGGGCUGGCGGGGGCACCCCGGGGCGGUGGGAGGGACGAGGGCUCUUGUGACUCUCGCCAUCGGCGCGGCGCCCUUGCGGCCGCUGACCCUGGCGGGAUGAGAUCCACCGUGUGGGUUUACCGACCUCCUCCUCGAGGACUGGGCCGCGGCGAUCCUUUGGAGUGUCCCUGGGCCUGGCACGGAUUUGUCGCUCAUGGGUGCUUGGUGACGGAUGGCGUGGAGCUCGGGUCCCGCUGCCCUGCCUCUGGCUCUGUGGACGAGUAUUCUAGGGCUCACAAGCCUCGCGCGGGGCUGGAGCCCCCCGCGACCGGGGGAGCAGGGGACGACAGUCCGUGGGGUCUGUCACGGCUGGGACAAGGACAGCCUCAGAUGGAAGCUUCCGGAGCCGUCUGGUCGAGCCCUGGCACACCGGUGGGGGCCCAGUAACUGUGGGAUGAAGGCAAGUGCUCGGCUGUCAGCCGCGUUUCCGUGUCAGGCGUCCAUCCGCCCCUCAGCGGGCACAUGAGGUCACGGCGGCCGGAAGAACACAGCACACGCUCUCCCUGUUGUCUCCGUGCGGCCAGAGGGAGGCACAGUGCCGGACACAGAGGGCGUCUCUGUAAACCCUGUCUGAACGCGGAGACAAAGGGGAUUUUAUAAACCACUUGCUUUUGCCAAACCAGCACAACUGCCCAAUCCUGGAGUGUGCAUGUGUGUAUACGUGAGGGGUGUGUGUGCGUGUGUUGGACACGUGCGAGUGUGCACCUGUGUCUAUGUGCACACAUAUGUGGGGGGGGGGGGGACAGAGAUCAGCCCUGUGGGCUCCAGGGAUGGAGGCUGAGGAGGGUCCAGAGGGCCUGGCUGAGUCAGAAGCCAGUGGUCGGAGCAGAUGGAAAGGCGUGGAGAGCAUAGGACUGCUUCCGAAGAGGGGGCAGGUGAGUGACAGCUGCAGAGGGCGGGAUGCGGGGAGGGGGGGCCGGCCAGUGGGGCCAUGCCGUCGCCGCCGCCCCGGAACAACGUUUCCCAGACCUCCCCGUGGGCAGGCCACGCUGCUGAGCUGGUACAGACACCGGCCCAUUGGGCCCUCGCCCCAGCCGCAAGGGGCAGGACUCUGACUCCCUUGGUCAGCAGAGGGUGUGACCCAAGACACAGGAAGUGACUCGUCCAAGGUCCCCAGCUGGCGAAAGGCGGAGCUGACGGCAGCCCCUGGGCUCUAGCCGCUGUGCUGUCUGAGGCUCCAAGGAGCGGCGUGGUGUGUGGACGUCCUGACUUCUGUUGAUGGUUAAUUUACGUCUCAGCCUGGCUGGGCUAUGAUGUCCAGCCACGCGGUCAAACGUUAUUCUGGGUGUUUCUGUGACCACCGUCUUUGGCAUGAGAUGAACAUUUACAUCGGUAGACUUUGAGUAAAGCAAAUUACCCUCCAUUAAGUGGAUGGGCCUCUUCCAAGCAGUAGACGGCCUGGAGAGAACAGAAGACUGACCUCCCCUGAGAGAGAGGAAAUUCCACCAGCCGACGGACUUGAACGGAAACAUGGCCACCUCCCUGGUCUCCGGCCUGCCAGCCCGCUCGCCCUACAGAGCCUGGACUUGCCCGUCUCCAUAACCGCGUGAGCCCAUCCCUUCUAACGAAUCUCUUUAUUGUUCUGUUUCAACGGACAACCUUGGCCAAAUACGCUUCCUCAGGAGCGGACAUCGGUAGAACUGGGCAAUCGGAAAUUAACUCCCGUGGAAACUUCCGGACACCCGGCGUGGCCCAGGCAGGGGUUCAAGCCGGCGAGCUGUGAGGGGUGAGGUGGGUUCUAGAGCAGGAAGGAGCGGAGUAGGGCAACAGGGGUGGCGGAUAGGGGCCAGGUCGCCCGACACAGUCCACCUCUGCGCGUUCUCGCUGUGUGGCCACGAGCAAGCCAUCUCAGACCGGAGCUCCCGCCACCAGCCCUGCCUGGGGAGCAGAGCACCUCGUUUCCCGCCGCUGGGUUCUCUCCCUGCUCCCCGGGCUCCCACGACAUCGUGUGUCAUCCCCUUGGCGGUGGCCUCGGCGUAAUCAAACACCCCUGAGUCAGAUGUUGCAGAAUUAACAAUCCCCCACGUGGUAUAAACAGAGUUUAAAUCAAAUGCAGUGAAAGGAUAUUGCCUUUUAAAUCGACCCUGACAGCUGUGGAAAAUAUUAUGCCCAAAUAGGAUCCUUACAUACGACAGACAUUAAUUCUUCGAGAACCCCUAAACGGGUCCUCUGGAUCGUUUGUAAGAUUUUAUUUUAUUAUGGAUUGGAUGUAUUGAAGUAAGACUAUAAUCUUAUUGUGCUCUGACCUCUGUUUUUAUAGCUCUGUAUAAACAGCAGUUACCGUGUUAGAGGGAGAGAUGUUUACAGAUGGAGAAAUAAAAACACGCCGCUUUA